AGAGUUUGAUCAUGGCUCAGAUUGAACGCUGGCGGCAGGCCUAACACAUGCAAGUCGAACGGUAACAGGAAGAAGCUUGCUUCUUUGCUGACGAGUGGCGGACGGGUGAGUAAUGUCUGGGAAACUGCCUGAUGGAGGGGGAUAACUACUGGAAACGGUAGCUAAUACCGCAUAACGUCGCGAGACCAAAGAGGGGGACCUUCGGGCCUCUUGCCAUCGGAUGUGCCCAGAUGGGAUUAGCUAGUAGGUGGGGUAACGGCUCACCUAGGCGACGAUCCCUAGCUGGUCUGGGAGGAUGACCAGCCACACUGGAACUGAGACACGGUCCAGACUCCUACGGGAGGCAGCAGUGGGGAAUAUUGCACAAUGGGCGCAAGCCUGAUGCAGCCAUGCCGCGUGUAUGAAGAAGGCCUUCGGGUUGUAAAGUACUUUCAGCGGGGAGGAAGGGAGUAAAGUUAAUACCUUUGCUCAUUGACGUUACCCGCAGAAGAAGCACCGGCUAACUCCGUGCCAGCCGCCGCGGUAAUACGGAGGGUGCAAGCGUUAAUCGGAAUUACUGGGCGUAAAGCGCACGCAGGCGGUUUGUUAAGUCAGAUGUGAAAUCCCCGGGCUCAACCUGGGAACUGCAUCUGAUACUGGCAAGCUUGAGUCUCGUAGAGGGGGGUAGAAUUCCAGGUGUAGCGGUGAAAUGCGUAGAGAUCUGGAGGAAUACCGGUGGCGAAGGCGGCCCCCUGGACGAAGACUGACGCUCAGGUGCGAAAGCGUGGGGAGCAAACAGGAUUAGAUACCCUGGUAGUCCACGCCGUAAACGAUGUCGACUUGGAGGUUGUGCCCUUGAGGCGUGGCUUCCGGAGCUAACGCGUUAAGUCGACCGCCUGGGGAGUACGGCCGCAAGGUUAAAACUCAAAUGAAUUGACGGGGGCCCGCACAAGCGGUGGAGCAUGUGGUUUAAUUCGAUGCAACGCGAAGAACCUACCUGGUCUUGACAUCCACGGAAGUUUUCAGAGAUGAGAAUGUGCCUUCGGGAACCGUGAGACAGGUGCUGCAUGGCUGUCGUCAGCUCGUGUUGUGAAAUGUUGGGUUAAGUCCCGCAACGAGCGCAACCCUUAUCCUUUGUUGCCAGCGGUCCGGCCGGGAACUCAAAGGAGACUGCCAGUGAUAAACUGGAGGAAGGUGGGGAUGACGUCAAGUCAUCAUGGCCCUUACGACCAGGGCUACACACGUGCUACAAUGGCGCAUACAAAGAGAAGCGACCUCGCGAGAGCAAGCGGACCUCAUAAAGUGCGUCGUAGUCCGGAUUGGAGUCUGCAACUCGACUCCAUGAAGUCGGAAUCGCUAGUAAUCGUGGAUCAGAAUGCCACGGUGAAUACGUUCCCGGGCCUUGUACACACCGCCCGUCACACCAUGGGAGUGGGUUGCAAAAGAAGUAGGUAGCUUAACCUUCGGGAGGGCGCUUACCACUUUGUGAUUCAUGACUGGGGUGAAGUCGUAACAAGGUA
rnacentral:rRNA from 1 species